CGCAGUAAUGCUAUCUGUGCAAAGGGGGGAGGACUCAGACCCUAAACAGGAUGCUGACGCUCUCAACUUCAAUAAAUCCUAGAGAAGGACAAAGCAACUUCCCACAGAUACUCUACAGACAGAAAAGCAGCAAGUCAAAAACCCUCAAAAGAGCAACAAUAACUCAAGGUGGACGCCCUGUUUAUGUAUAUUUUUUGGAGGAGAGCCCUUGAAUAAUGGCCUCGAUAUAAUGGAGCCUGAACUCCCAGCAGAAGAGGGCUUUGGACUGCAAAUACCGCGGAGCACACACAGAGGCAAUCCACUUCCUCAAGGAUCGGGCCCUGCAGUCUGGAUCCACAAAGAGGCACCAAAGUAAUGGCUUCCUUAUGGGCUCCCGACGCAAGACUGAUGGGCUGACAGAAGGAGACAGGGAUCAGGGGGAGCUGAAGCUUCAAAUCCCUACAGGGGAAGUGAUUCUCGGUACAACAGGCCGUCUACUGAAGUCACCUCCUCACCUGUCAAAGGAGUGAAACUGCAUGGGCAGCAUGGCCUGGGCCUGGGCCUUGGCAGCAGGGUCUUGGUAGGUCACGGCCUCCAACCCAGCCUCCAGGCCCUCCACUGGAGCU